GUGGCUCAGUGAUAGAGCGCUCGCCUGGAGUGUGUGAGGCACUGGGUUCGAUUCUCAGC
rnacentral:tRNA from 1 species